UGAAGGCAAAUGUACAUGAAUCCAUGAACUCCAGUAACCUCUCUUGACCAACCAGAGAUGGGACAUAAUGUAUGGAACAAAGGACCUUCCUGGAUCUCAGUGGAAGCCCAUCUGCCCACUGCCAAGCAGUUCCCCUUCAGGGAUGUUAGUCAUCCAUGGGACAAAGGUCCAGGACAAAACCGAGCUGGCUUGAUUCCCAGGGACCUCUCUGCCUCCAAGACCGCCUCCGCCAGCCCAUUGGAAGCCCUGGGGCCUCCCUGCCCAGCUGGGAGGAGAUCCCCGGACAUAAUCACCGGCCAGGGCCAACCUCCUAACCAAUCAGAGGCCUGGGGGACACCAGCUGGCUUCUUGGUGCCGGCCAAUCAGGAGAAAGGGGGGGGGGGGCUUUCAAAAUUUAGCAAUGUUAAUGCAUGAGAAUUCUUGUGUAUAAAAAUAUCUGCUUAUGAUUAUGUUUUUACACUUGUACUCUUCAAGCAUCCAUGCUGUACAAGUGUCCCUUUUGUGCAAACUGAAUAAAGUAUCUGUUUGCUUUCAACCUGGUGAGAUUCUUGGUUCCUGAUUCCUGUUUUGUGCUACCAACGGUUAGCAAAGCUUGCCAGGUGUCCCUCGGUUAUCCAU